GUGCUCACUCUGCAGCACAUAGACCAAACCUGGAACAGAUAGAGAUUAGCAUGAGCCCUGUACAAGGAUGACAUGCAAAUUUGUGAAGUGUUCCAUAAUUUU